AUUGAACGCUGGCGGCAGGCUUAACACAUGCAAGUCGAGCGGGGGAAGGUAGCUUGCUACCGGACCUAGCGGCGGACGGGUGAGUAAUGCUUAGGAAUCUGCCUAUUAGUGGGGGACAACAUCUCGAAAGGGAUGCUAAUACCGCAUACGUCCUACGGGAGAAAGCAGGGGAUCUUCGGACCUUGCGCUAAUAGAUGAGCCUACGUCGGAUUAGCUAGUUGGUGGGGUAAAGGCCUACCAAGGCGACGAUCUGUAGCGGGUCUGAGAGGAUGAUCCGCCACACUGGGACUGAGACACGGCCCAGACUCCUACGGGAGGCAGCAGUGGGGAAUAUUGGACAAUGGGGGGAACCCUGAUCCAGCCAUGCCGCGUGUGUGAAGAAGGCCUUAUGGCUGUAAAGCACUUUAAGCGAGGAGGAGGCUACUUUAGUUAAUACCUAGGGAUAGUGGACGUUACUCGCAGAAUAAGCACCGGCUAACUCUGUGCCAGCCGCCGCCGUAAGAC
rnacentral:rRNA from 1 species